UCACAUGCUUCGGCUUUUUUUCUGUUUUUGGAAAAUGCUUUUUUCUGUGACUGUUUAGUUCAAUGCAUUGAACUUUCACUUCCAAACCUGCCAUGCCAUUUCGUCUGCAGCAGCUAGAAAUUUAAAGAUACAUUAAGGUGAAAUGAAGACCAGCCCUUUCCCUGGAAAUCCGCCUUUGAGUUCUACUGGCAAUGCACAGUUCUAAGACCACAGCUCUGCAAAACACAAGUUAGUGGUAUUGGGAAGAAUCACUGGAGAAACAGGAAAGUAAAAAGAGGGUUUGAAUAUUUGAGUCCUUAGACCUGCUCCUUUGCAUUUUUCUUUGUUUCCCUGCUCUCAAGAUGGGAAGUAAUUUGGCUCACUGUUUUCACACUAUGAACACCACUUAAAUAUUUAGUUUACUUUUGGAAAUUUUGAAAAAUGUUUUGCAAGCAGAGUAGCACAGGCAACAGGACAGAGUAUGUUGUGAGUCAUCACUUUCAUUCUCAGUCAAAGUUCUUUAUUUUUCAGUUUUGUGGCAUUCUAGAAGUACCCCCCAUGGGAACCACACCAAUGAUAUAAUAAUUGCUGUUUUCACCCAAGAAAUUUAUUACCCUUCUUUGAGGGGGAACCAAAACUCUUGGUAAGCAGAAACUUUCCAGAUACCCAAAUUGCCCAAACUGUUUGGCUCUAUGCAGCUGCAAGGAAGCUUCAGAGAAAGACAAUUAAAAUUAUUGUAUGGCAGGUACUUUCUUAUUGCAUUGUAACUAAAUGCAGCAUCUCAGCCUGGAAGCAGCUCUAUAAACUAGGUAAUACUGGAUGAAAAAUAUUAAAUUAUUAUUUUCAGCCUAGAUAAUUAACGUUCUUCAGUAUCAGAUUCCCAUGAGGUGCUAAAUGAAGUAAUGUCUUAAUUCAUACUUGUGUCCUCUUUGGUUUUUGCAGUAAGUUCAAAAUAACUCUACAGAGACAUUACAGAGUCAGAUGGGUAAAAAUUUAACAUUUUGAAAACACCUAUAGUCCCUUUGCCUGUCCACAAUAAUAAUUUUUGAAGGAAGAGACUUGUAGAGGCUUACAGUCAACAUAUCUUUUGGAUACUGAGGAUAUCUAGUGCUGAAUGAUUUUGCAUAUUAUGACACCUGCAUCUAAAACAACAGUGUUAAUAUUAGCAGUGCCAUCCACUUCAAUAUAAUAAAUUUCUUUUUUUAAUAUCAACGUUAAACCCAUCGUUUUAUAGACCUUUGGGGAUAAAAAAAAAUUAAAGACAAUCUUCAGUGCUUUUUAACUGUAAACCCAUUGAGAGUAUAAAUUGUUCCCUGCCUUUGGGGGAAAAAAAGAAAAAGGCAAUUGUAGUUUUACUAGAAGUCUACCCAAAUUCUUUGCCUCUGGAAAAAUUCUUGAAGAUGAUAGUAUGGAGGUUAUUUCAGUAAACAAGAAAUGCCAGGAAAAAAUGUAAAUGGAUUUUAUACAUCCUGAAUUUGAAUUGCCUCAAACAAUGUGACUGACAAACAUUGACAGGGGAAAGAAUCGAAUGCAGAUAAGAGUCCUGCAGAAGGUAUCACACCAAUUUCAAUCCAUAGAUAUACAGAGUUACAGCAAAAUUCUUUCCAUGUCUUGCUACAAUUAGCAGAAGAAUUUAUUUCUCAUUAAAUAGGAAUUUGAUAAAGAAUAAGAAAAUAAUUAGAAAUUAAAUGCACAGAAGGAACUUCCAAAUAUCCCAAUUCACCAAAACCUGAAUAGGUGCCAAGGCACAUAAGAAUAAGCUUUGCAAAGUCUGACACAGUGCUUAGAGAGGCACCAAAGCCAGGCAACAGGAAAUGCUGAGCACAAAAUUCCAGGUUUCUCUAGAGUUAUACUGCAUUCAUACCCCUCACCUAAGUUUGGGUGUCACUAAAAAAACAAGCAAAGAAAUGUGUGAAUAGGACUUUAAAGCAAGGCUUACUUGGAAAGAAAAUGCUACAGGUCUUUUCCCUGCUUGGUUUAACAUAAAAUACUGAACUAUGAAUCAGAGCAGUCCAAAAUAUCCAUUUCUCCCCUUCCAGGCAAGUUCUCUAACCUCAAGGGCAACAGUUCAGCAAGUAUUUCAUUAUUUCAUUCAAAAUGGAACAGUUUCCACAGAAAUAUUCAGAGGCUCCUCUGAUCCCAGAUUUCCCCAUGGCAUCCUCCAGAAACUUUUGCAGAGAGAUUUUUAAGCCAGAAUUCUGUUGGACAAAGGGAGGAAAAAAACCCAGGUUUUCAAGUCCCAAGUGCUGAGGUGCUGGGCAAAAGCACAAAUACAAGAACAAAAGCCAGUGUGCUAAAAACAUUCAAUAAUUCCAUGAAUCUUCAGUUCUAAAUUUUUCGUGAAACACAUAACUGACUGAAAUAGGGGGACCGCAGUCCCAAAGGCUCCACUGAGACUUGUUGUGGAACAGAAGUUCGAAUAGAGAUUGUUUUAGCUCUGCUUCCUUUUUUUUGAGGGGGAACAGGAGUGGUUGGGUUUUUUUUUUUGGUUUGUUGUUACUGUUAAAGCAUUUUUGUUUGUAUCUCUUAUUAGAUACUCAUCCAUCACUUUGUUUUCUUCUCAGAUGUUCAUUUGUUACUGCACAUGAUUAGCAUCAGACUUGUGAGCGACAUCAUAAUUUCCAAAAUUCCUUUUAGCCUCCGGUUAUGAUGUUUUCUAGUUUUUGAAUUGCUAUUUAUGAAAUUUUUAUGAUUUGGAGUCAUUCUGUAAAACGUGAAAAAUAGUAAAAAAAUUGAGAAAAGGAUUUUUGAGGGAGUUCUUGCAAUACUCUUAGAGAAAAUGAAGCCUUGCUGUGAAAACUACCAGUGGAAUUGUUUAUAUCCAGAACAUUCCUAGCAAGUCGUUGCUUCAAAUGUGUUUUAAAAAUUUCUCCUGGAAGACAGUCCACAACCUAUUCAGAAGCUUGCCCGAGUGACAGGGAGACUAAAAAUUAUGGAUUCUUAGAGUAUGAUUUCCAGAAGAUACAUAUUCAGGCUUCUAUAAAAAUCACAGUGUUUGUUUCAGGUCCCACUGAGCAAGAAAGUGGUUUUACAGAAUUAUUGUUUUUCAAAUCCCAGUUGCAAAGGAGGUUCCUGCACCAAAGAAUCUGCUAUUGAGUUAGAUUGCACAUAGGCUACAGAUGGAAAAACAACUUAUACAAGCACCAAGUGGCAAGCAGGUGAACUGAGGGUUUGGAGCUGGCAAUCAGCACCUUCAUUCCUCUGAUUUCUCUCUCCAAUUUCUGGCUUUUGUCAGGGCCUCAUGAUGGGGUUGGGGAAGUUUCCUUCUUUCUGACCCUUUCUAGUGGUUCUCCUGUGGUUUGAUGGGAAUGUCAC